rnacentral:rRNA from 1 species
UUAAUCCUACGGGAGGCAGCAGUGGGGAAUAUUGCACAAUGGGGGGAACCCUGAUGCAGCGACGCCGCGUGAGUGAAGAAGUAUCUCGGUACGUAAAGCUCUAUCAGCAGGGAAGAAAAUGACGGUACCUGACUAAGAAGCCCCGGCUAACUACGUGCCAGCAGCCGCGGUAAUACGUAGGGGGCAAGCGUUAUUCGGAUUUACUGGGUGUAAAGGGAGCGUAGGCGGCGAUGCAAGUCAGAAGUGAAAGCCCGGGGCUCAACUCCGGGACUGCUUUUGAAACUGUGUUGCUAGAUUGCAGGAGG